rnacentral:lncRNA from 1 species
UGAACCAGACCUGAAAUCUUCAGAAGCCCACUUACCUGCCCCUCUGCACCCUGGAGGGCAAGAAAAAUCGACUUUGGAUCAGACCUGGGGUCUCUCCAACCCUGUACCAUGGCAUCUGAGGGAGAGGCAGCGAUCAAGGGUACUUUAUGUUGGCUUGAAAAC